rnacentral:rRNA from 1 species
UACGGGGGGGGGCAAGCGUUGUUCGGAAUUACUGGGCGUAAAGGGCUCGUAGGCGGCCAACUAAGUCACACGUGAAAUCCCUCGGCUCAACCGGGGAACUGCGUGUGAGACUGGAUGGCUUGAGUUUGGGAGAGGAAUGCGGAAUUCCAGGUGUAGCGGUGAAAUGCGUAGAUAUCAGGAGGAACACCCGUGGCGAAGGCGGCUCUCUGGGACGGUACUGACGCUGAGACGCGAAAGCGUGGGGAGCGAACAGG